rnacentral:piRNA from 1 species
UAACAUUGGCUUAUCCGGACAUCUCCCU